AAGGUUUUUUUUGUCUUUUUAUUGAAUCUUUUUUUUAUUGAAAUAUUUACGGAUUUUUUAAAAGGUUUUGUCCUCUUAUUACAUGUCUUUUGCACUUUUGAACGGUUGUGUCUUUUUAAUGCAAUUUUUUGUUGAUAUAUUUAUAAAUUCUUUCGAAUGUAUCUUUCUAUCGUAUCUUUUUGUUGAAAUGUUUACGAUUAUUUUUUACAAUCGUAUAUUUUCAGUUUACGUUUGUGUCUUUAUAGUUGUAUCUAAUCAUUUAAAGUUAUGUCUCUUCAUUAUAUUUUAUUGCAUUUACUCGUCACAAUUUCUCGUAUGAGUAGUUGUCUAUCUAAAUGUUUGUGACUUUUGAACUUUAUAUAUUUGUCACUUUCUAAGUGAAUCCCAAAUUU
rnacentral:sRNA from 1 species